rfam:Nicotiana sylvestris Nsyl_contig145355, whole genome shotgun sequence.
UGGACAGAUUAUUGUAUUCGACUGUAUUCACGGCGUGAAACAGGGGAUUACACUGUUUUUAAACGAAAAGUGAAUCAAUUAACAUAAUAGACUCCU